AUGAAAAGAUGUAGGAUCGUGUUUCGACCCGAACGAGUCGUUCAGAGGAGUUUUGAUCAGAUACAGAUUAUAGCCAAAUCUCACACCGGCAGCACCUCGGUAUGAAAUUGCACAACUGUUCUAUGAUUUCGCUCAAGAGACCAUAUAUAUAGGGUUGGUGAUUUCGCUCCAAGGUACAUGGCCUUAUGAGCGAAACCCUAACAUGUCCAUAUUAGCGAAACCCCUAGGUCCAUAUAAGCGAAAUCAUCAUUCUAAUUACAUAUAUUCUCCAAUUUUCUCGUAACACGUGCCCUAAUCUAUACAAUUCAAUGUAAGACUCGAUACAAGACGAAGUCGAC
rnacentral:lncRNA from 1 species